rnacentral:rRNA from 1 species
UUAAGCGACUAAGCGUACACGGUGGAUGCCCUGGCAGUCAGAGGCGAUGAAGGACGUGCUAAUCUGCGAUAAGCGUCGGUAAGGUGAUAUGAACCGUUAUAACCGGCGAUUUCCGAAUGGGGAAACCCAGUGUGUUUCGACACACUAUCAUUAACUGAAUCCAUAGGUUAAUGAGGCGAACCGGGGGAACUGAAACAUCUAAGUACCCCGAGGAAAAGAAAUCAACCGAGAUUCCCCCAGUAGCGGCGAGCGAACGGGGAGCAGCCCAGAGCCUGAAUCAGUGUGUGUGUUAGUGGAAGCGUCUGGAAAGGCGCGCGAUACAGGGUGACAGCCCCGUACACAAAAAUGCACAUGCUGUGAGCUCGAUGAGUAGGGCGGGACACGUGGUAUCCUGUCUGAAUAUGGGGGGACCAUCCUCCAAGGCUAAAUACUCCUGACUGACCGAUAGUGAACCAGUACCGUGAGGGAAAGGCGAAAAGAACCCCGGCGAGGGGAGUGAAAAAGAACCUGAAACCGUGUACGUACAAGCAGUGGGAGCACGCUUAGGCGUGUGACUGCGUACCUUUUGUAUAAUGGGUCAGCGACUUAUAUUCUGUAGCAAGGUUAACCGAAUAGGGGAGCCGAAGGGAAACCGAGUCUUAACUGGGCGUUAAGUUGCAGGGUAUAGACCCGAAACCCGGUGAUCUAGCCAUGGGCAGGUUGAAGGUUGGGUAACACUAACUGGAGGACCGAACCGACUAAUGUUGAAAAAUUAGCGGAUGACUUGUGGCUGGGGGUGAAAGGCCAAUCAAACCGGGAGAUAGCUGGUUCUCCCCGAAAGCUAUUUAGGUAGCGCCUCGUGAAUUCAUCUCCGGGGGUAGAGCACUGUUUCGGCAAGGGGGUCAUCCCGACUUACCAACCCGAUGCAAACUGCGAAUACCGGAGAAUGUUAUCACGGGAGACACACGGCGGGUGCUAACGUCCGUCGUGAAGAGGGAAACAACCCAGACCGCCAGCUAAGGUCCCAAAGUCAUGGUUAAGUGGGAAACGAUGUGGGAAGGCCCAGACAGCCAGGAUGUUGGCUUAGAAGCAGCCAUCAUUUAAAGAAAGCGUAAUAGCUCACUGGUCGAGUCGGCCUGCGCGGAAGAUGUAACGGGGCUAAACCAUGCACCGAAGCUGCGGCAGCGACNGAAGGUGUGCUGUGAGGCAUGCUGGAGGUAUCAGAAGUGCGAAUGCUGACAUAAGUAACGAUAAAGCGGGUGAAAAGCCCGCUCGCCGGAAGACCAAGGGUUCCUGUCCAACGUUAAUCGGGGCAGGGUGAGUCGACCCCUAAGGCGAGGCCGAAAGGCGUAGUCGAUGGGAAACAGGUUAAUAUUCCUGUACUUGGUGUUACUGCGAAGGGGGGACGGAGAAGGCUAUGUUGGCCGGGCGACGGUUGUCCCGGUUUAAGCGUGUAGGCUGGUUUUCCAGGCAAAUCCGGAAAAUCAAGGCUGAGGCGUGAUGACGAGGCACUACGGUGCUGAAGCAACAAAUGCCCUGCUUCCAGGAAAAGCCUCUAAGCAUCAGGUAACAUCAAAUCGUACCCCAAACCGACACAGGUGGUCAGGUAGAGAAUACCAAGGCGCUUGAGAGAACUCGGGUGAAGGAACUAGGCAAAAUGGUGCCGUAACUUCGGGAGAAGGCACGCUGAUAUGUAGGUGAGGUCCCUCGCGGAUGGAGCUGAAAUCAGUCGAAGAUACCAGCUGGCUGCAACUGUUUAUUAAAAACACAGCACUGUGCAAACACGAAAGUGGACGUAUACGGUGUGACGCCUGCCCGGUGCCGGAAGGUUAAUUGAUGGGGUUAGCGCAAGCGAAGCUCUUGAUCGAAGCCCCGGUAAACGGCGGCCGUAACUAUAACGGUCCUAAGGUAGCGAAAUUCCUUGUCGGGUAAGUUCCGACCUGCACGAAUGGCGUAAUGAUGGCCAGGCUGUCUCCACCCGAGACUCAGUGAAAUUGAACUCGCUGUGAAGAUGCAGUGUACCCGCGGCAAGACGGAAAGACCCCGUGAACCUUUACUAUAGCUUGACACUGAACAUUGAGCCUUGAUGUGUAGGAUAGGUGGGAGGCUU